rnacentral:lncRNA from 1 species
CAAUUCCCAGGUUGGAAAAACUUAAGCUAAUGCUAGCUCAAGAGACUCUGCAACUCAUGAGAGCGAAAGAAUUGUAUUUAAAUCGCAAAAGAGCUGAAAUUCAGGGAAAGAAAAACAGGAUGAAGUUGUCUAUUACGAUCCAUGUGAAAGUCCAGAGGAACUUAGUCAUUGACUGUGGUGGGGCUGCAGGACGAUAAGAAUUCGGAAGUGAAAGAACUCAGAAGGCAGUGCCAGCAGCUGGAGUCUGUUAAACGGAGCAGUCUGUGUCAAAAGAGCUUCUCUCCAGAGUAGAAAGAGACGGGGUUUUGCCAUGUUGGCUAGGCUGGUCUUGAACUCCCGACCUCAAGUGAUCCGCCCACCUUGGCCUCCCAAAGUCCUGGGAUUACAGGUGUGAGCCACUGCCCCUGGACCACAGACGGAGUCUCACUCUGUAGCCCAGGCUGGAGUGCGAUGGCGCGAUCUUGGCUCACCACAAGCUCCCCCUCCCGGGUUCACGCCAUUCUCCUGCCUCUGCCUCGUGAGUAGCUGGAACUACUGGCGCCUGCCACCACAUCCAGCUAAUUUUUUUGUAUUUUUAGUGCAGACUGGGUUUCACCGUGUUAGCCAGGAUGGUCUGGAUCUCCUGACCUUGGGAUCCGCCCGCCUCGGCCUCCGAAAGUGCUGAGAUUACCGGCGUGAGCCACUGUGCCCGGCCGAGACUUUUAAUUAUGCAAUGCCAGACUGCAUUGCAUAAACCAAAGGCCAACAGAGAGGUGACCUUUCAAAUUACUGGCACAAGAAGAGCUGAGAUCAGAAAGCUCCAACUUAAUGCAAACAUCGACAAGAAAUCCGACAGAAAUGACUUCUGUGUCUGGUCAACUUAACAUAACAUGACAUAUUGUCAAGCGCAUUUGGCUUUUUAGGUAGAAUUGUCUAUAAAGGUUUAACUGCUUUAGAAAAUAUAAAUGUGAAGAUUUGUGGUAUUUGGGUUUAUAUAUAAGAUAUUUCUACAUUGAAAAGAGACUGGAAAAGCUUGGUAUAAGAUUUGUAAAAUAUGUUUGUAAUAAUGCUAAUGGAAGAGGUGAGAUUUGGGUGGGGUGGGGUGUAGAUGGGAACAUGGUUUGGGGAUUGGGGAAAGGGAAGUCAUGCUGUUAAUAAAAUAGUGAGGCAUGUUGUAUAAAGUGUGUUUUAUGUCUCAAUUGAAAUGUUAUAGAGAUAAAUUUAAAAUAGAUCAUGAUGGGUUUUGAAUCUGAUUUCUAAUUUUAAAAUGUUAUGAGCUUUUGUUGCUUUCCUAUUUCAUACACAUUUCUUUAUGGGUUUCACUUAGACUGCAUGAAAUUGCAGAUGCCAAUUACCUUUUAACAAAAUUAAAUUCACAUAUAUGUAUAAUUUGCAUGUAUAUAUCCAUGGAAUUUUU